rnacentral:pre_miRNA from 2 species
CCCAGUGUUCAGACUACCUGUUCAGGAUCUUACUGGUGUACAGUAGUCUGCACAUUGGUUA